AUCGAAAGGAUUCAAAAUCCAUAAUUUUUAAUGGUUGAUAUCUGCCGUUUUCAAGUUUAACGGUGUAGAAGUAUUCAAAUCAGAUGAAAUUUUGAUAGAAAAUUCUUUAUACUAUCUACAACAAGAUCUAUAUUUCUGAUCGAAAAUUUUAGUGUUAUAUCACCACUUUUUAUAGGAUUUUUAUUUUCAGCCGUUAAAAAUUAUUGAUUUUAAAUCUUUUUGAUUGCUAGGUAAAUGAUAUCGAAAAAUCGCAAAAAUUAUUUUCUAGAAACUUUAAAUACGCUAGAUAAAGCCUAACGGAGCCGAUCGUCGAUUUGAAAACUCCAUCAUCGAAAACGGCUCAGGAGCACGGAGGCCUUCGUGCUCCUGAGAGCACAACAGCCCUGCUCUAUAUAUAUAUGUAUGAAUCAAUAAAAAUAUUUUCAUAUUCUACAUGUUAGUGCAGUAUUUAAAAAGAUCUUAAUAGAUAAAUAGUUUGAAAUAGCACUUUUAAAAUAGGAAAAACUUCAAAACCAUUCAUGUGAUUUCGCACUUUUUUAUUUUAGUACUCUGUGGUUUAAAGUGUAUCAAAUUAGCACCCUGUGGUUUCGCACUUUUUCACUUUAGUAUCCUAUGGUUUAAAAUGUAUCAAGUUAGUACUCUGUGAUUUUAUUUUUGUAUCAAGUUAGUAUUCUGUGGUUUUAUUUUUUUCUCAAUGAAAUAUUAAACCACGGGGCACUAAAGUGAGAAAGUGCGAAACCACAGAGUAGUAACUUGAUAGAUUUUAAACCAUAAGGUACUAAAGUGAGAAAGUGCGAAACCACAUAAUAGUAAUUUGAUACACUUUAAACUAUAGAAUACUAAAGUGAGAAAGAGUAAAACCACAUGAGAAUAUUUUAAGUUUUCUUUUUAAAAUAUGCAUUGCAUAAAUUAAUUUAAUUAUUUUUAUAUUAUAAAUAUUGAUAUGUAUUGUGGGGGGUCUGAAAGUAAUAGGAUUAUU
rnacentral:lncRNA from 1 species